AACUACAGAACCACGCUUAACCGAAUUUUAGAGCAACCCGUAUUACAAAGUUUAAACAACGCUACGGAAAAGGUGCAUAGAUAUUCUAUCGCCGCGUGCAUGGACGAAGAUUCUAUAGAGAGACGGUAGAUAAACAGUCUUCGGA